AUACGGAGGAUCCGAGCGUUAUCCGGAUUUAUUGGGUUUAAAGGGUGCGCAGGCGGCCAUUUAAGUCAGCGGUUAAAUCGUGGGGCUCAACCCCAUUCUGCCGUUGAUACUGGGUGGCUUGAUUGCGGUCGAGGUUGGCGGAAUUCGUUGUGUAGCGGAGAAAUGCAUAGAUAUGACGAAGAACACCGAUUGCGUAGGCAGCUGACCAGACCGCAAAUGACGCUCAUGCACGAAAGUGCGGGGAUCGAACAGGAUUAGAUACCCUGGUAGUCCGCACAGUAAACGAUGAAUACUUGUUUUCGGCGAUAUAAUGUCGGAGGCAAAGCGAAAGCGAUAAGUAUUCCACCUGGGGAGUACGCCGGCAACGGUGAAACUCAAAGGAAUUGACGGGG
rnacentral:rRNA from 1 species